UCCUUCUGCCUCAGCCUUCCAAGUAGCUGGAAUUACAGGAUAAGAAACGUGUUAAAAGAUGAAGUAUUUGCUGGUAGAAGCCAGAGGAAACAGUUUCCAUCAAUCUCUUCAAGGACUGUGAGAGAAAAACCUGUUCGGCAUGAUUCCAAAGAAACUAGCCACUGGAGCCAAGACUGAUGUGUAGCAAUUUUAUUUUAUGUUGUUCUUGGUGAGAAUGGAGGUCAAGAAGAAACCAAUAUUUAAGUAACUAUAUAUGUGAAGAAUAAAAUGGAUAUAAAAAGGUA